rnacentral:rRNA from 1 species
AUUGAACGCUGGCGGCAUGCCUUACACAUGCAAGUCGAACGGCAGCACGGACUUCGGUCUGGUGGCGAGUGGCGAACGGGUGAGUAAUAUAUCGGAACGUACCUUUCAGUGGGGGAUAACGUAGCGAAAGUUACGCUAAUACCGCAUAUUCUGUGAGCAGGAAAGCAGGGGAUCUUCGGACCUUGCGCUGAUUGAGAGGCCGAUAUCAGAUUAGCUAGUUGGUGAGGUAAAGGCUCACCAAGGCGACGAUCUGUAGCGGGUCUGAGAGGAUGAUCCGCCACACUGGAACUGAGACACGGUCCAGACUCCUACGGGAGGCAGCAGUGGGGAAUUUUGGACAAUGGGGGCAACCCUGAUCCAGCCAUGCCGCGUGAGUGAAGAAGGCCUUCGGGUUGUAAAGCUCUUUCGGCCGGGAAGAAAUCGCGCAGGCUAAUAUCCUGUGUGGAUGACGGUACCGGGAUAAGAAGCACCGGCUAACUACGUGCCAGCAGCCGCGGUAACAC